rnacentral:rRNA from 1 species
UACAUGUGGGGCAAGCGUUGUUCGGAAUUACUGGGCAUAAAGGGUGCGUAGGCGGCUUGUUAAGUCAGGGGUGAAAGUUUUCGGCCCAACCGGAAAAUUGCCUUUGAUACUGGCGAGCUCGAGUGCGUGAGGGGUAACCGGAACGAGUGGUGUAGCGGUGAAAUGCGUAGAUAUCACUCGGAAGCCAAAGGCGAAGGCAGGUUACUGGUACGCAACUGAUGCUGAGGCACGAAAGCGUGGGGGAGCAAACGGG